CAAAAACAUGGCUCCUUGAAAUAAAAUAAUAAGGAGUCGGACCUGCCCAGUGAAUUUUUUUAACGGCCGCGGUACUCUGACCGUGCAAAGGUAGCAUAAUCAUUUGCCUUAUAAUUGAAGGCUAGUAUGAAUGGUUUGACAAGAAUGCAACUGUCUCUUUAUGAUUUAAUAGAAUUUUAUUUUCAGGUGAAGAGGCCUGUAUUUAAUUAAAAGACAAGAAGACCCUAUCGAGCUUGAAAUAAAUUAAUAGAAUUUAAAUUAAUAUAUUUAAAAAAUUGUCUGUUAAAAAUUUUAGUUGGGGCGACUGAGGAACAUAUAAAGCUUCCUUUAAAUCAUCUAAAUCAAACCAGAAUUGAUCCAAAAUAUUUUGAUUAAAGGAAUUAGUUACCGUAGGGAUAACAGCAUUAUCUUUUUUAAGAGCUCAUAUCGAAAAAAAGGUUUGUGACCUCGAUGUUGGACCAGAAUAUCCUAAAGGUGCAGCAGCCUUUAAGGGUUGGUCUGUUCGACCAUUAAAAUUCUACCUGA
rnacentral:rRNA from 1 species